rnacentral:rRNA from 1 species
GAUGAACGCUGGCGGCGUGCCUAAUACAUGCAAGUCGAGCGAACAGACGAGGAGCUUGCUCCUCUGACGUUAGCGGCGGACGGGUGAGUAACACGUGGAUAACCUACCUAUAAGACUGGGAUAACUUCGGGAAACCGGAGCUAAUACCGGAUAAUAUAUUGAACCGCAUGGUUCAAUAGUGAAAGACGGUUUUGCUGUCAGUUAUAGAUGGAUACGGGCCGCUUUAGCUAGUUGGUAAGGUAACGGCUUACCAAGGCAACGAUGCGUAGCCGACCUGAGGGGGUGAUCGGCGACACUAGAGCUGAGACACGGUCCAGGCUCCUACGGGAGGCAGCAGUAGGGAAUCUUCCGCAGUGGGCGAAAGCUUGACGGAGCAACGCCGCGUGAGUGAUGAAGGUCUUCGGAUCGUAAAACUCUGUUAUUAGGGAAGAACAAAUGUGUAAGUAACUAUGCACGUCUUGACGGUACCUAAUCAGAAAGCCACGGCUAACUACGUG